AGUGAACGCUGGCGGCAGGCCUAAUACAUGCAAGUCGAACGGCAGCACAGCAGAGCUUGCUCUGUGGGUGGCGAGUGGCGGACGGGUGAGGAAUACAUGGGAAUCUGCCCAGUCGUGGGGGAUAACGUAUGGAAACGUACGCUAAUACCGCAUGCGCCCUACGGGGGAAAGUCGGGGACCGCAAGGCCUGGCGCGAUUGGAUGAGCCCAUGUUCGAUUAGCUAGUUGGCGGGGUAAAGGCCCACCAAGGCGACGAUCGAUAGCUGGUCUGAGAGGAUGAUCAGCCACACUGGAACUGAGACACGGUCCAGACUCCUACGGGAGGCAGCAGUAGGGAAUAUUGGACAAUGGGGGCAACCCUGAUCCAGCCAUGCCGCGUGAGUGAAGAAGGCCCUCGGGUUGUAAAGCUCUUUCAGACGGAAAGAAAUCGCAUCUUCUAAUACAGGGUGUGGAUGACGGUACCGUAAGAAGAAGCA
rnacentral:rRNA from 1 species